CGCGUAGGUGGUUUUGUAAGUCGGAUGUGAAAGCCCCGGGCUCAACCUGGGAAUUGCAUUCGAUACUGCAUGACUAGAGUAUGGUAGAGGGAAGAGGAAUUCCGGGUGUAGCGGUGAAAUGCGUAGAUAUCCGGAGGAACAUCAGUGGCGAAGGCGACUUCCUGGACCAAUACUGACACUGAGGUGCGAAAGCGUGGGGAGCAAACA
rnacentral:rRNA from 1 species